rnacentral:rRNA from 1 species
UACGGAGGGUGCGAGCGUUGUCCGGAAUCACUGGGCGUAAAGGCGCGUAGGUGGCCCUGGCAGUCGGGUGGUGAAAGCCCGUGGCUCAACUCGGGUCGGCCACCGAUACUCCAGGGCUCGAGUUUGGUAGAGGCAGAUGGAAUUCCGGGUGUAGCGGUGGAAUGCGUAGAUAUGCGGAGGAACACCGAUGCGAAGGCAAUCCCCUGACCUGUAC